UCCGGUUUGGCACCGGCAGUCCUCCCAGAGUCCUCGGCAUAACCCGGUAGCAACUGGGAGCGGGGGUUGCGCUCGUUGCGGCACUUAAGCCAACACCUCACGGCACGAGCUGACGACAGCCAUGCAGCACCUGUGCUGGGCCCUUACGGACACGGGCUUUCACCCGCUUUACCCAGCAUGUCAAGCCCAGGUAAGGCUCUUCGCGUUGCGUCGAAUUAAACCACAUGCUCCGCUGCUUGUGCGGGUCCCCGUCAAUUCCUUUGAGUUUUAGCCUUGCGGCCGUACUCCCCAGGCGGGGCACUUAAUGCGUUAGCGCCGGCACGGGAGGAGUCGACACCUCCCACACCUAGUGCCCAUCGUUUACGGCGUGGACUAC
rnacentral:misc_RNA from 1 species